GGCCGCCGCGCUGUGCUCCCCGCGGGGACGCUUCCCGGGCGGAUCGGAGCUUGCAACCUCAGCGACCGCAACUUCCCACCGUCGGGGCGCGGGGCUGGGCGGUCAGCAGAGCGGCCGCAGGGCGGCGGGCCGAGCCGGGGGGAUCUGGGGGCGCAUGGCGUGCGCGGCGGCUCAGGCCAGGGCUGAGGCUGGGCGGGGGAGGCGGCUCGCUCCGCUCCCCGGGAUCCCGGGCAUCCGAGAGGCGGCGGUCUGGGAGGGCGAGGAGCGGGGACGGCCCGAGGGCGCCGGGCGGGGAGCCGGGCCGCUCCAAGUGCCCGUGAGUUGGCGAAGUUGGCAGAGAAGUAGCAAUCCUCGGGAUGUCCGAGCGGGCGCCUCCGGGAGGGGAGAGCGUGAGCCGGGCCCCCGCCCCCGGAAAAGGCAGGCGCACGCCGCCGCGGCCGAAGGGCCGGGAGGGAGGGAGGGAGGGAGGGAGCCGAGCAGCGCCGGCAGCACUGGGCUGGCCCCAGGUGGGUUGCGGCUGCGAGAAGACUCGGCCGGAGACUGGAGCCUCGGCUCCCGGUGUGUGUCUCUCUAAAAGCUGCAAAGCCCCCUCCAGACCCCCUCCCCCUCCCCGCGCUGGGAGAUGGAUGACUUGUCAGACAAAGGCAAUAGAUUCCACCACUCUGUGAUUCGCCAGCGCCGGAGCCCCGAGCUUCGGCGAGGAGGGCCCCGCGCCUGUCACUCCGGUGCCGGAGGGAGGAAGGGAGGGGAGGCGGGCCAGGGGGAGGGGAAAGGGGAGCCCUGGGAUUAAAACUACACAGAGAAACGAAACUCGCCGAUAAGAUAAACGUUAGAUAAGGAUAAAGAGCGGCCAGUCUAAUGAAUAUUCAGGCAACGACGGAGUGCCGCGGAGCGCCGCUCUCCGAAGCCAGGCUCCCAGUCCCAACUCACCCAGCCCUGCCAUCCGCCGGCCAGUGCCCGCGUGGGCCACGCGGCCCCAAGCCCGGUCCGCAUCCCUAGUCUUAACCCCCCUCCUCUCAGCCCUGAGUUCCCUUCCGUUCCUUCCUGAUUCUUCCUUCCUCUCUCUGGUCCUUCCCUUUCGCCUUUCCCUCCUGAGGUACCUCCCCACCCACGCACCCCCCAAUUCUCAUUCCGGGGCAAAGUGCCCGGCAGUUUGUCCUCUCUCAUCCCACGCGCGGCUGCGCGGAGGGCUUCCCUCUUCUCCUUGGCCAUCCGGCUCUGGGCAGCCCAGAACGCUCGGUUUAGGAUGGAGCUGGAGACUUCCAGCGAGGACCCACCUGCCUCGGUGGGACCCAGCGGACGGUGGGAGAGCCCGGGGACUUGGCUUCUGGGCCUUCGGAUGGCCUGGGAGAAGGGCUUGGGGAAGGAGACAGUGCAGAGCGACUGGUCGCUGGCGGCAGAGGACGCGGGAGACGAGGUUUGCACUCCCGGCUGGGGAGAAGAGGCUGCGAACGAGGCUGAGCGCCGCCCGCUGCCAGCUCGGCGGCUCCGGAGCUAGCGCAGGAGGCGCAGCGCGCUCGGCCCGGCCCCGCUCCUGCCAGAGCCUCUGGCCCAGCCUCCGCAGCCCUCGUCCGCACUCGCUCGCAUGCACACAGAACCAAGCAAACAUAUAUCCUUGUUAUAAGUACAUCUUGGAAACAUGUAUAAUAUGCUUUGCUUGCAAUCACACUAUGACCUAUAAAUGAAUACACCAUGCACGUACAAAUACUUAGCAAAUACCUAUGCUGUCUAGACACACCUUACCCACACAUAUACCCUACCUACUCACUUGACAUACAUACAUUUUAUGAACACCCACCUGCACCCCAAAGCUCUGUAACCUGCAUCCCCUACCUACAUACACACUUACAUGCCAUGCAUAUGUUCUACCGAGACCCUGGGGACCCACAUUCUACACAUGCACACACAUCUCACGUUGAAUACAUAUAUUCCUACACACAAUCCUGUCUUAAUACAUUUUAUAUGCACAUUCUGCAGUUACAGACAUGUAUGUCCUAUUCAGCAGAACUAAAUCCAUGGUGAAUUGUCUGAUUUAAUUAGUACUUCACACACAAAAAUAACCUCACAAGUGUACAGCCCUACCCGAGGUUGAGAAGUAUUUCAUUUCCAACACGGGACAGGGGUCGUCCCCAUUUCCUUGGGGAGGAGGCAGAGCCUGGGGAGGGGCGGGGCUAGCGCGGGGCCGCCCCGCCCCGCCCCCCCGCCCCGCCCCGCCCCGCCCCGUCCCGUAAAAAGAAACAAGAAAAAUUUUUUUUUCCUUUCCUUUGUAGAGGUGCUGAGUCUCCG
rnacentral:lncRNA from 12 species